UACGUAGGGUGCAAGCGUUGUCCGGAAUCACUGGGCGUAAAGGGCGCGUAGGCGGCUUGAUAAGGUUGCGGUGAAAGCCCGGGGCUCAACCCCGGGUCGGCCGUGGCAACUGUCGAGCUGGAGCACUGUAGAGGCAGGUGGAAUUCCGGGUGUAGCGGUGGAAUGCGUAGAGAUCCGGAAGAACACCGGUGGCGAAGGCGGCCUGCUGGGCAGUGGCUGACGCUGAGGCGCGACAGCGUGGGGAGCAAACAGG
rnacentral:rRNA from 1 species